AGGGCAACCUGAGUAGAAGCGGCGCACGGGUGCGUAACACGUGGGUAAUCUGCCUCAAAGUUUGGGAUAACCUUCCGAAAGGUUGGCUAAUACCGGAUAAGCUCACGAGGUCUUCGGACUUUGUGGGAAAAGGUGGCCUCUAUUUAUAAGCCAUCACUUUGAGAUGAGCCCGCGGCCCAUCAGCUAGUUGGCGGGGUAACGGCCCACCAAGGCUACGACGGGUAGCUGGUCUGAGAGGACGAUCAGCCACACUGGAACUGAGACACGGUCCAGACUCCUACGGGAGGCAGCAGUGGGGAAUUUUGCACAAUGGGCGAAAGCCUGAUGCAGCAACGCCGCGUGUGUGAUGAAGGUCUUCGGAUCGUAAAGCACUUUCGACCGGGACGAACAACCUCUGGCUAACAGUCAGGGGCCUGACGGUACCGGGAGAAGAAGCACCGGCUAACUCUGUGCCAGCAGCCGCGGUAAU
rnacentral:rRNA from 1 species